AACCUUAUGGACCUGCGGGCGUAUACCUGCGGAGGGAUCAUUAUCGAAUGGUCAGUUGACCAUCAACCCUUCAAACCUGUGGAAGCAAAUUGUGCUCCGUAGCUAACGGGGCUGCUUUUAUGCUGAAAAGUUGGAAUUGUGUCUGAAUUUGACUUAAGAAUCAAAACUUUCAACAACGGAUCU
rnacentral:misc_RNA from 1 species